GCUUCCAAUGAACCUGUGCUCUUAGUUAACAGAGAACUACUGGAAACCCCACCAAGCUCCUUCUCCUUUCCACCUAUCUUCUCAUACAUCCUUGGUCUUCCCUUAGGCCUCAUACAUUUAGGUCACCACCAACUGCGACAGAUGCUCCUUAUGAGUCGCACACCCCCUUAGUUAAGCUUCUUUGGACGACCACACCCUCUUUUAGGAACUCUUACAGAUAACCCUACCCUUAGGAAGAAGCGCCACCUCGCCCUCCCCACCUUGACCCCUGUCCGUCAAAAGGAAAUUUGUUUGAUUGGUACAAUUCUAACUAAAAAUGAAGUGUCGAUUAGGCUAGGGCAUUCUAAUAUUAGAGUACUUAGAUUCAUAUUACAAUACUAGUACUAUGGGAUCAACCACUUAUUGACAUAUGUGUUUAGCAAUUAUUUUUUACCGCCGCCAAAACGCAAAGAGUAAAAAGGUUUUUAGUGAAGAGUUUUAAAUCUCCACAAAAUGAACAUGCUAAUUUUGUGGUAGUCUCUGUAACAUUCUCAAAGUACUAGAAAAUGAUUUUUCUUAUACUCUAUAGAUUAUGGGCAUUAGAAACCGUCACAAUUCGCAUAUAUCGAUCCGGGGUUAAAAAUCCCAAUAUAUACUAUGAAACAUUAAUAUGAUUAUUAUUAUACUACUGCUCUUUAGCUUUUAGCGUGUGUAUAAAAGGAAGGCCAUCCAUCUCAGUCUCAGGUACUCCCUCAAGGUGUGUUCUCAUAACAAACCACAGCAUUAAUAUUUUCUCUCUUCACCACUCUUCUCUCUCUUUGACCAGUCACACUCACCAUGAGUUCCAAAAAUGUGUUUUGCAGAUUAGGCGAGCAACUCAGUGAUGCAAAACCAUACUUGUUAAUGAUUGGGUUGCAAUUUGGCAUGGCUGGAAAUUACAUCUUCGGCAAGGAUAUUCUUAACCAUGGGAUGAGUCGUUUUGUGUUCAUUGUUUAUCGCAAUGCCAUGGCUACCGUUGCCAUAGCUCCUUUUGCAUUUUUUCUCGAAAGGAAAAGUAGGCCCAAGAUGACACUAUCAGUCUUCCUCCAGAUAAUGGUUCUGGGAUUUCUAGAGCCAGUUUUUAAUCAAAGCUUCACUUACUUGGGGAUGAAGUACACCUCCGCAUCAUUCGCAUCUGCUAUCACCAAUGCCGUGCCCUCUAUCACCUUUCUGCUCGCAGUCUUCGUCCGGCUGGAACGUCUCAAAUUGAAGGAGAUUCGGAGUCAAGCCAAAGUGAUUGGAACAUUAGUAACCUUUGGAGGAGCUUUAUUAAUGGCAGUGUACAAAGGUCCUGGGUUCAACCUUUUUCAUUCUGAAAACACAACCCACGAACAAGAUGGAAGCAUCUCCUCUCACAGCCACCAAACUACAGGGGCUCUUUAUAUACUAAUGGGUUGUGUGGCCUUGUCUUCCUUCUACAUUUUGCAGUCAAUAACGGUGAAAAGAUAUCCAGCAGAGCUAUCACUGGCGACGUUGAUUUGCUUGGCGGGAACAGCGGAAGGCACUGCGGUGGCACUUGUGGCUGAGCGUCACCCCCACGCUUGGGCAAUUGGUUGGGACUAUAGGAUCUAUGCUCCACUUUACACGGUUCACUUGCAGGAGUUGUAUUUCAUGCAAAUGGAUAUUAUCAGCAUUCAGCAACUUCAAUGGGGCAUGUUGGGGAAGCUAUUACUUAUGGAUCUGGUUUUUUUUUAAGAUCUGAGCUGAUAUUUUGGAAAGGAGGGAGUAUCUACCUGUUUCCUUUUUAAUAGAUGUUGCUGCACUUUGAAUCAAGGGAUGAAAGUAAUACAUUUUGUUAGUGUGUUUGGUUUUGAGUUUGGGUAUUUUGAACCAAGUAGAAGCAAACAUGCAAAUACAAAUUGGCCUUAAUUAAACAAGCUCUUUCUAGAAAAUAUUACUGUGCCUCAGGUGUGGAUAUUCCAGAGUCAUUAAAAACAUUCAAUUUGAAGAGAGGUCAGGCUGCUCAUAAACGAGGGAAGAAGAAAGUCUUAAAACUGAUCCAGUAGAGAAAAAUUCCAGAUAGCUGCAAAAGAAGGAUGUGAACUUGGAUUCAAAUGGCUUGCAAGGUCAGAGGAGGAAGAGAAGCGGUUACUCACAGAAAUGUAUGGAGAUAAUGGAUACAUUUAUUAGUAGGGUGUAGUAAUGGAUCUUUGUAUCCCUUCACUUAAUCACCUACCAUGAAUCUUAUGUGUUUCAAAAAAACAACGCUGGGUUAGGUGGUCCCCUUCCCUCAAGGACUGCAUUGUGGUUAUUGGUUAAUGUUGAUGGUAGCGUCCAUGGGACGCCGCGUCGAGGUGACAUUGGAGGGUGUCUUCGUAGCAUGGUUGGAGAAUGAAUUGCUAGCUUUUAUGGUUUCUUGGAUGAUUGGACAUCCUGCUCUUGGAGUUACUGGCUAUCUAAUAUCCUUCACUACAACAAAACUGGGUGUUAGCGGCGGUUGUAAGUAGGACCGACGGCUGUUAAAACCGCCGGUAACACAAAAUAUGUGUUCUAUUGUUUCUGGACCUAGCAGCGGUUGAAACCGCCGCCAAAACUCCAGAAAAUUAAUGUUUUUUUUUUCUUCUGUUUUUGGUUUUUUUUUAACCUACUUUCUAAUUUUCUUUACAUAAUAAAUUAAUCAACAAAGGGAAAAUUUUGUGCCAAAGAAAA